rnacentral:rRNA from 1 species
UUGGACAAUGGGCGAAAGCCUGAUCCAGCCAUGCCGCGUGUGCGAAGAAGGUCUUCGGAUUGUAAAGCACUUUAAGUUGGGAGGAAGGGCAGUUACCUAAUACGUGAUUGUUUUGACGUUACCGACAGAAUAAGCACCGGCUAACUCUGUGCCAGCAGCCGCGGUAAU